CAGCCGUAAACUAUGCUCGCUAGGUGUCAGGCAUGGCGCGACCGUGUCUGGUGCCGCAGGGAAGCCGUGAAGCGAGCCACCUGGGAAGUACGGCCGCAAGGCUGAAACUUAAAGGAAUUGGCGGGGGAGCACAACAACGGGUGGAGCCUGCGGUUUAAUUGGAUUCAACGCCGGACAUCUCACCGGAUAAGACAGCUGAAUGAUUGUCAAUCUGAAGGUUUCACAUGACUAGCUGAGAGGAGGUGCAUGGCGUAGACGUCU
rnacentral:rRNA from 1 species